AUCACUUUAUUUGGGUCAGCAAA
rnacentral:siRNA from 1 species